GAAUAAAAAACAAUGAUCAAUAAAAUGAUGCGGUAGUUGCGUAAAUCGACACAUGAUGGUCGCCUCUUCCGUGCGAGACCCAUUGGGCGGAGUUCUCACAAGAAUGAGGCCAAUCGGCACACAACACGCGUGCGACAGGCAGUGAACGACGUGUUUUUGGCUCAGUUCCUACCAAUCCCUGGUGUACACACGAGCGCCACGUGGACCUUAACAAUUCGGGUCUAUUUUUAUGCUUCUGCUCUGCAUUUUCUGGAUUAUUAGUAAUAAUAUCAUUAAAAGUGAUAUAACGC
ensembl:ncRNA VF15C11L.2 ncRNA